rnacentral:rRNA from 1 species
GACGAACGCUGGCGGCGUGCUUAACACAUGCAAGUCGAACGAAGUGGCGAACGGGUGAGUAACGCGUAAUCAACCUGCCCUUCAGAGGGGGACAACAGUUGGAAACGACUGCUAAUACCGCAUACUGAAGGAGGGGAUUGCGUCUGAUUAGCUAGUUGGAUGGGUAAUGGCCCACCAAGGCGAUGAUCAGUAGCCGGGCUGGGGAGGUGAACUGCCACAUUUGGACUGGGACACGGCCCAGACUCCUACGGGAGGCAGCAGUGGGGAAUCUUCCGCAAUUGACGGAAGUCUGACGGCGCAACGGCGCGUGAGUGAUGACGGGCUUCGGGUUGUAAAGCUCUGUUAAUCGGGACGCGGUACCGGAAUAGAAAGCCACGGCUAACUACGUGCCAGCAGCCGCGGUAAUAC